rnacentral:rRNA from 1 species
CGCACGGGUGCGUAACGCGUAUGCAACCUACCUUAUACUGGGGGGAUAGCCCGGAGAAAUCUGGAUUAAUACUCCAUAACAUAUUGAACGGCAUCGUUUGAUAUUGAAAGCUCCGGCGGAUUAUAGAUGGGCACGCGCAAGAUUAGCUAGUUGGUGAGGUAACGGCUCACCAAGGCGAUGAUCUUUAGGGGCCUGAGAGGGUGAUCCCCCACACUGGUACUGAGACACGGACCAGACUCCUACGGGAGGCAGCAGUGAGGAAUAUUGGUCAAUGGGUGCAAGCCUGAACCAGCCAUCCCGCGUGAAGGACGACUGCCCUAUGGGUUGUAAACUUCUUUUGUAUAGGGAUAAACCUUUCCACGUGUGGAAAGCUGAAGGUACUAUACGAAUAAGCACCGGCUAACUCCGUG